GAUGAACGCUGGCGGCGUGCCUAAUACAUGCAAGUCGAGCGAAUGGAUUAAGAGCUUGCUCUUAUGAAGUUAGCGGCGGACGGGUGAGUAACACGUGGGUAACCUGCCCAUAAGACUGGGAUAACUCCGGGAAACCGGGGCUAAUACCGGAUAACAUUUUGAACCGCAUGGUUCGAAAUUGAAAGGCGGCUUCGGCUGUCACUUAUGGAUGGACCCGCGUCGCAUUAGCUAGUUGGUGAGGUAACGGCUCACCAAGGCAACGAUGCGUAGCCGACCUGAGAGGGUGAUCGGCCACACUGGGACUGAGACACGGCCCAGACUCCUACGGGAGGCAGCAGUAGGGAAUCUUCCGCAAUGGACGAAAGUCUGACGCAGCGACUCCGCGUGAGUGAUGAAGGCUUUCGGGUCGUAAAACUCUGUUGUUAGGGAAGAACAAGUGCUAGUUGAAUAAGCUGGCACCUUGACGGUACCUAACCAGAAAGCCACGGCUAACUACGUGCCAGCCGCCGCAGUAA
rnacentral:rRNA from 1 species